rnacentral:rRNA from 1 species
CGGUUUGUCGCGUCUGCUGUGAAAGCCCGGGGCUCAACCCCGGGUCUGCAGUGGGUACGGGCAGACUAGAGUGCAGUAGGGGAGACUGGAAUUCCUGGUGUAGCGGUGAAAUGCGCAGAUAUCAGGAGGAACACCGAUGGCGAAGGCAGGUCUCUGGGCUGUUACUGACGCUGAGGAGCGAAAGCAUGGGGAGCGAACAGGAUUAGAUACCCUGGUAGUCCAUGCCGUAAACGUUGGGCACUAUGUGUGGGGGACAUUCCACGUUCUCCGGCGCCGUAGCUAACGCAUUAAAGUGCCCCGCCUGGGGAGUACGGCCGCAAGGCUAAAACUCAAAGGAAUUGACGGGGGCCCGCACAAGCGGCGGAGCAUGCGGAUUAAUUCGAUGCAACGCGAAGAACCUUACCAAGGCUUGACAUCCACCGGACCGCACUGGAGACAGUGCUUCCCUUCGGGGCUGGUGGACAGGUGGUGCAUGGUUGUCGUCAGCUCGUGUCGUGAGAUGUUGGGUUAAGUCCCGCAACGAGCGCAACCCUCGUUCUAUGUUGCCAGCACGUGAUGGUGGGGACUCAUAGGAGACUGCCGGGGUCAACUCGGAGGAAGGUGGGGAUGACGUCAAAUCAUCAUGCCCCUUAUGUCUUGGGCUUCACGCAUGCUACAAUGGCCGGUACAAAGGGUUGCGAUACUGUGAGGUGGAGCUAAUCCCAAAAAGCCGGUCUCAGUUCGGAUUGAGGUCUGCAACUCGACCUCAUGAAGUCGGAGUCGCUAGUAAUCGCAGAUCAGCAA